rnacentral:rRNA from 1 species
AACGAACGCUGGCGGCAUGCCUAACACAUGCAAGUCGAACGAGACCUCCGGGUCUAGUGGCGCACGGGUGCGUAACGCGUGGGAAUCUGCCCUUGGGUUCGGAAUAACAGCGAGAAAUUGCUGCUAAUACCGGAUGAUGACGUAAGUCCAAAGAUUUAUCGCCCAAGGAUGAGCCCGCGUAGGAUUAGCUAGUUGGUGAGGUAAAGGCUCACCAAGGCGACGAUCCUUAGCUGGUCUGAGAGGAUGAUCAGCCACACUGGGGCUGAGACACGGCCCAGACUCCUACGGGAGGCAGCAGUGGGGAAUAUUGGACAAUGGGCGAAAGCCUGAUCCAGCAAUGCCGCGUGAGUGAAGAAGGCCUUCGGGUUGUAAAGCUCUUUACCGGAACGAUAAUGACUGUACCGGGAGAAUAAGCCCCGGCUAACUCCGUGCCAGCAGCCGCGGUAA